rnacentral:rRNA from 1 species
AUUGAACGCUGGCGGUAGGCCUAACACAUGCAAGUCGAACGCGAAAGUCCUUCGGGAUGAGUAGAGUGGCGGACGGGUGAGUAACGCGUAGGAAUCUAUCCUGUCGUGGGGGAUAACGUUUCGAAAGGAACGCUAAUACCGCAUACGCCCCACGGGGGAAAGCGGGGGAUCUUCGGACCUCGUGCUAUAGGAGGAGCCUGCGUCGGAUUGGCUAGUUGGUGAGGUAAAGGCUCACCAGGGCGACGAUCCGUAGCUGGUCUGCGAGGAUGAUCAGCCACACCUGAACUGAGACACGGGCCGGACGCCUACGGGAGGCAGCAGUGGGGAAUAUUUCGCAAUGGGCGAAAGCCUGACGCAGACAUACCGCGUGUGUGAAGAAGGCCUUCGGGUUGUAAAGCGCUUUAAGUUGGGAGGAAGGGGUUGAAGCUAAUACCUUCAAUCUUUGACGUUACCAACAGAAUAAGUACCGGCUAACUCUGUUCCAGCAGCCGCCGUAAGAC